UCAAGUGUCUUAAGGGCAUUCGGUGGAUGCCUUGGCGACAAGAGGCGAUGAAGGACGUGAUACGCUGCGAUAAGCCAUGGGGAGCUGCGAAUAAGCUUUGAUCCGUGGAUUUCCGAAUGGGGAAACCCACUCCGUAUGGAGUACCCGCAAGGGAGCAAACCCGGGGAACUGAAACAUCUAAGUACCCGGAGGAAAGGACAUCAACCGAGACUCCGCUAGUAGUGGCGAGCGAACGCGGACCAGGCCAGUGGCUUGCAUUUAAGAACCGGAACCGUCUGGAAAGUCGGGCAUUAGUGGGUGAUAGCCCCGUACGGGUAGAAAUUAUGCAAGUCCUCGAGUAGGGCGGGACACGUGAAAUCCUGUCUGAACGUGGGGGGACCACCCUCCAAGCCUAAGUACUCCUUGUCGACCGAUAGCGAACAAGUACCGUGAGGGAAAGGUGAAAAGUACCCCGACGAGGGGAGUGAAACAGUUCCUGAAACCGGAUGCCUACAAACAGUUGGAGGGCGCAAGCCUGACAGCGUACCUUUUGUAUAAUGGGUCAGCGACUUAAUUUAACGAGCAAGCUUAAGCCGGUAGGUGUAGGCGUAGCGAAAGCGAGUCUGAAUAGGGCGCCCUAGUUCGUUGGAUUAGACCCGAAACCGAGUGAUCUAGCCAUGGCCAGGUUGAAGGUGCGGUAACACGCACUGGAGGACCGAACCCACGCCUGUUGAAAAAGUCGGGGAUGAGCUGUGGCUAGGGGUGAAAGGCCAAUCAAACUCGGAAAUAGCUGGUUCUCCGCGAAAUCUAUUUAGGUAGAGCGUCGGAUGAAUACUCUCGGGGGUAGAGCACUGGAUGGGCUAUGGGGGCUUACCGCCUUACUGAUCCUAACCAAACUCCGAAUACCGAGAAGUACUAUCCGGCAGACACACAGUGGGUGCUAACGUCCAUUGUGGAGAGGGAAACAACCCUGACCGCCAGUUAAGGUCCCUAAGUUAUGGCUAAGUGGGAAAGGAUGUAGAACUCCCAAAACAACCAGGAUGUUGGCUUAGAAGCAGCCAUCAUUUAAAGAAAGCGUAACAGCUCACUGGUCUAAAUAAGGGGUUCCGCGCCGAAAAUGUACCGGGGCUCAAGCCAUACACCGAAACUGCGGGUGCAUCUUAGGAUGCGCGGUAGCGGAGCGUUCUGUAAGUCUGCGAAGGGGGACCCGUGAGGGCUCCUGGAGAUAUCAGAAGUGCGAAUGCUGACAUGAGUAACGAUAAAGCGGGUGAGAGACCCGCUCGCCGAAAGUCCAAGGGUUCCUGCGCAACGCUAAUCGGCGCAGGGUUAGCCGGCCCCUAAGGCGAGGCCGAAAGGCGUAGUCGAUGGGAAUGCAGUUAAUAUUCUGCAGCUUGGUGGUAGUGACGGAUGCCGUGUGUUGUAUCUCCUUAUUGGAUUGGGGGUGCAGCGAAGGUGUUCCAGGAAAUAGCUCCACCGUAUAAACCGUACCCGAAACCGACACAGGUGGACUGGUAGAGAAUACCAAGGCGCUUGAGAGAACUAUGCUGAAGGAACUCGGCAAAAUGCUCCCGUAAGUUCGCGAGAAGGGAGACCUCACGAUGGGCAACCGUUGUGGGGUGGCACAGACCAGGGGGUGGCGACUGUUUAUCAAAAACACAGGGCUCUGCGAAGCCGUAAGGCGACGUAUAGGGUCUGACGCCUGCCCGGUGCUGGAAGGUUAAGAGGAGGUGUGCAAGCACCGAAUUGAAGCCCCAGUAAACGGCGGCCGUAACUAUAACGGUCCUAAGGUAGCGAAAUUCCUUGUCGGGUAAGUUCCGACCUGCACGAAUGGCGUAACGACUUCCCCGCUGUCUCCAGCAUAGACUCAGUGAAAUUGAAUUCCCCGUGAAGAUGCGGGGUUCCUGCGGUCAGACGGAAAGACCCCGUGCACCUUUACUACAGCUUCACACUGGUAUUCGUCACGACAUGUGUAGGAUAGGUGGUAGACGUUGAAGCAGGAGCGCCAGCUCUUGUGGAGUCACCCUUGAAAUACCACCCUUGUCGUCAUGGAUAUCUAACCGCGGUACAACAAUAUCCGGGACCGUGUGUGGCGGGUAGUUUGACUGGGGCGGUCGCCUCCCAAAUGGUAACGGAGGCGCGCGAAGGUGGGCUCAGAGCGGUCGGAAAUCGCUCGUUGAGUGCAAUGGCAUAAGCCUGCCUGACUGCGAGACUGACAAGUCGAGCAGAGUCGAAAGACGGCCAUAGUGAUCCGGUGGUCCCUCGUGGAAGGGCCAUCGCUCAACGGAUAAAAGGUACGCCGGGGAUAACAGGCUGAUGAUGCCCAAGAGUCCAUAUCGACGGCAUUGUUUGGCACCUCGAUGUCGACUCAUCACAUCCUGGGGCUGGAGCAGGUCCCAAGGGUUUGGCUGUUCGCCAAUUAAAGUGGUACGUGAGUUGGGUUCAGAACGUCGCGAGACAGUUCGGUCCCUAUCUGCCGUGGGUGUAGGAGAAUUGAGAGGAUCUGUCCCUAGUACGAGAGGACCGGGAUGGACGUACCUCUGGUGGACCUGUUGUGGCGCCAGCCGCAUUGCAGGGUAGCUAUGUACGGAAGGGAUAACCGCUGAAAGCAUCUAAGCGGGAAACCCACCUCAAAACCAGUUCUCCCUGAAGAGCCGUGGAAGACCACCACGUCGAUAGGAAGCGUGUGGAAGUGCGGCAACGCAUGAAGCUUAGCUUUACUAAUAGCUCGUUCGGCUUGAUCCU
rnacentral:rRNA from 1 species